GGGCCCGUGGCUCAGCUUGGUUAGAGCGUUCGGCUGAUAAGGGAAAGGUCCGGGGUUCGAAUCCCCGCGGGCCCA
rnacentral:tRNA from 1 species